GUGCUCACUUCGGCAGCACAUAGGCUAAAAUUGGAACGAUACAGAGAUUAGCAUGGCCCCUGUGAAAGCAUGACACACAAAUUCAUGAAGCUUUCCAUAUUUUU